CAAUCAUCUUUUCUUGGCUAUUUUCAUAAAACCCUACCUUGUACUAUACAAUACAACACAUCAUCAUUAUAUAAUUUUUUUUUUAACUAUAUAGUUCUUGAUAUAUACAUAACCCUCUUCUCUUCCUCCCAUUUCAACAACCAAAAAAAAAAAUUAAAAAAAUUGUGAAACUAAUUCUUUUUUGUGUAUGUGAAAAUGGGGAGGAAGUGUUCACAUUGUGGCUAUAUUGGUCAUAAUUCAAGAACUUGUAGCACUUUGAAAAGUGCUAUUAGUGGUAGUAAUUUUAAUGGUGGAUUAAGGCUUUUUGGAGUGCAACUUGAUAUUUCUAAUUCUUGUUUUUCUAGUCAUAAUAAUAAUAAUAAUUUGAAGAAAAGUUUUAGUUUGGAUUGUUUGUCUUUAACAAAUAGCCACUUAUUAUUAUCAUCAUCUUCUUCUCCAUCUCUUAAUGAAAAUAGUAGUACUAAUUCUAUUGAUAAUAAUGGUUAUCUCUCUGAUGGUACUCUUGUAGGUUGUGUUGGUGAAAGGAAAAAAGGAGUUCCAUGGACAGAAGAGGAACAUAGAAGAUUCUUAAAUGGACUUGAAAAGUUAGGUAAAGGAGAUUGGAGAGGAAUUUCAAGAAAUUUUGUGACAACAAGGACUCCAACACAAGUUGCAAGUCAUGCUCAAAAAUAUUUUCUAAGACAAUCAAGUCUCAACAAAAAAAAAAGACGUUCAAGUCUCUUCGAUAUGGCAAGGAGCAACAACAAAUAUGUAGAUUUUGGUCAAGAAAUUACAAGACCAUCUCCAUUAGACCUAAAUUCAUUUGGAGAAAAGUGUGAAGAUUCUAUUUGGAGUUAUGGAUCACAAAA